GGGAGUUUCAAGAUUACUGCCGUCAUACUCAGAGUGACACAUGCAGAAAUACUAUCUGUUUAUUGUGCUUCAAGGAUCCAUUAGAUCAGGACUAUUGCUGGGCAAAGCCUCUUCCCGCAGCCUAGGGGUAGUAAAGGUGGGGGUAGAGGUGCUGGGGCUGGGGCCAGAAUCACACACAGUCUGCUCUGGCCUCUACCCACCUUCACAGGGAAGUCAGGUGGCUGAAGCCAGCAGAACUUGCUCUGGGACCAGGGUGGAGGCACCUGCCUCCCAUCCAGACCUGGCUGGAGGGUCUUGACUCCCUAGCUUGGCUCUCCUCCCAGGGUUUUUUUUUUUUUUUUUUUUUGUCCCUGGCAGUGCAGGGGUGGCCAAAAGCUUGAGCUUGGGAAUCAUGCCGAUUGGUUCAAAUUCCAGCCUGCUCCUCGAUGCUUGUGGGAUCGCCUAGCCUUUCAGAUCUUCCAUUCCUUUGCCGGUAAAAUUGGCUCUAUAGUACAUUCCUUGCAGGGCUGCUGGGAGGAAACAGAGAUGACAUCCGUGUUAUUAUUGCUCCUGAGACUUGCCAGAAAGCCCUCCAUGAUCAGCGUAGAUGCCAUUUCUUCCCAGAUGCUCCUUUCCCCACUCCUGGGUUCAGCACUUCCUCCGGGCAACUUCAGCCCCUGCUCCUCCCUCUCUUUGCACCCGCCCCACCUGCCCCACUCACUCCACCCACCCCAGGGUGCUGUCUACUUGUCUGCAUCCUGCUCCUGCCCUGGGUCUGGGAGCUCCUCAAGGGCAGGAAUGGAGUGACUUCCCUCUCUGUGCACCCAGGACAGGGCUGGACAGGAGAAGGGAAGCCCAAGGAGUGGUGAAGAGCCCCGAAGGAAGGGACUAAACUCCAGCCAUCUGUCCCGCGGUGUCUGUUCAUACUCCUCCUCCGUGCACGGGCUCAGACAUACAUAUGCGCAUAUGCUCUGUCUCUUUCUGGUUGAAGGUCCUGGGAGCCCUCCGGAACUCUGCUGCCUGGCAGUCCUUCAGUUUCGGGAGCUUUUCUGUCUGCCCGUGGCCUCGGCUGCCACCUGGUGGCUGCACGCUCCAAAGGAAGCGUAGAUUGAUGAGAGCCUCGGAAGUUGAGCUUCAGGCGCGGCUCUUCCCCGUCACACUGGGACCGGACGCAUUUCCAUGGCGUGGUCCCAGGAACCUCUCAGAGUGAACUGAAUUGGAUGCAAGAUCACGGUGCGUCAGAGCUAGCAAGAUCCUUAGGAUCAUUUAGCCUGGUUUACUAAUAUUACACUAUGGAAUUUAAGCCCAAGGAAUGGAGAGUACCCGACGAGCGUUAUGUAAGGAGUCGAGUGAGAAGUAAGCUGGAUGCUCUGCUUGGCUGGCAGGUACAGAAUGUGCCAGACCCAUCUGUACCAGCCUGGAUCUCUUGAGGCAUCAGCACAAUGGACCUGGCCACACCAGUUUAUUCCACACCGCUGAGGCUGGUACAGUUCUGGACAUGGACUUUGUAAAUAAAUAACUGGGCCUUUGGUCAGUUCUAGCUGUGAGCUUGGAGGUAUGGGGUGGGAUGGUGAGGACAGGUGGGGGCAAAGUGAGGAAAGGGGCAGGGAGGAGAGGGGAGAGAGAAAAAGGGGAAUGAGACAGGCUGAGCUAGUGAGCUGGAAUUGGAGGUUGGGAACAGGCUUUCCUUGAUGGUGGUGGUGCUGUUUUCUUUUUAAUUUUAAUUUAAUUUUAUUUUAAGUUCCAGGCUACAUGUGCAGGAUGUACAGGUUUGUUACAUAGGUAAAAACAUGGUGGUUUGCUGCAACUGUCAACCCAUCACCUAGAUAUUAAGCCCAGCAUGCAUUAGCUAUUUAUCCUGAUGCUCUCCCCACCCCUGCCCCAACAGGCCCCACUGUAUGUUGUUCCCCUCUUUUUUGUUCACUUAAAAGAUCCCACUUUUAAGUGAGAGUAUGCAGUGUUUGGUUUUCUGUUCCUGUGUUACUUUGCUGAGGAUAAUGGCCUCCAGCUCCAUCCAUGUCCCUGCAAAGUACAUGAUCUCAUUCCUUUUUAUGUCUG
rnacentral:lncRNA from 10 species